CUUCCGAUCAGGGAGGUACAUCUACCUCUUUGAUCGGAAGGGGUUCCUUCCGAUCAACGAGGCGUUGACCGGAAGGAACCCCUUCUGGUCAAAGAGGUCGAUGUACCUCCCUGAUUGGAAG
rnacentral:miRNA from 1 species